GCUCCUUCGGAAGCCGCCGUAGAUCAUCUCCAUCAUGUCGUCGUCUUACCUCUUCACAGCUCUGUUUCUUCUCCUAUUCUACUCGAUCUUCGGUUUGCUUUUUACAAGUGAGAAAUACUAUGGCAUGAGUGGAGUCGGAAAAAGGGAUUGUUAAAUUUGAAAUGGCGGGAAGGACCAGAAGAGGAAGAUCUGAGAGAAAUGAGGAGUUGGAGUCGGUAAGAGAAGAACUAAGAGAAGAACUACUCCGAGAAGUAAGAAGGGAGUUGAGAGAGAUUGUUCAGUCGAUGAGAGGUCAGGACUCUAGGAGAUCAGGAGGUACCCAGGGCCAUGAGGAUUUAGGCCACUCACAUAGGAGGAGCCGCACUGAAAGGCCAACAAUGAGCCAAAUGGAAGCAAUGAAGAGGUUCAUGGUGAUGCAACCUCCAUCUUUUAAUGGAGAGCCCAGUACUAAAGCAGCUGAGCAUUGGUUGAGGAGGAUGAGAAGAAUUCUGGUGGGACUGGACAUACCUGAGGAAAGAAGGAUAGGUCUGGCAACAUAUAUGCUUGUUGAUAAAGCUGAUUUCUGGUGGGAAUCAAUGAAAAGGGUGUAUGACACUGAGGUUAUGACCUGGGAGGUAUUUGAGAGAAUCUUCAUAGGCAAGUAUUUUGGGGAGGUGGCUAAGCAUGCCAAGAGGAUGGAGUUUGAGCACCUCAUCCAAGGAACCAUGUCGGUGCUGGAGUAUGAGUCACGUUUCUCAGAGUUGUCUUGUUUUGCUUUGGGGAUGAUCAGUGAGGAAGGAGAAAAGGCUAGGAGGUUCUAGCAGGGGUUGAGGCCUGCUAUUAGGAACAGAUUAGUCCCACUGGCAAUAAGGGAUUAUUCUGAGUUGGUUAAGAGGGCUUUGUUGGUGGAACAGGAUAUUGAGGAGACCAACCAAAUUCGGGAGCAAAGGGGGGAUAGAAAAGGGAAACAAAGAAUGGUGGAAAGUUCUCAGGGGAGAUCUUAGGGCCCGCAGCAGAGACAAAGGACUCAACAGUCUGAGAGGCAUUCCUCAUUCUAUGCAUGAGGUGAGCAGAGUGCUCAAAGGGUGGCUACUAAUAGAGUAUGUUAUGGUUGUGGAGUGGGAGACCACUUAUGGAGGGCUUGCCCAUUGCGGAAUGUACAGUAGGCUCAACCUCAGUCUUAGGGAAGUUCUCAGCAACAGCCAGUAGUGUCUUUCCAGCCCCCUCAGUUUCAAUUGCCUUACUACCAGAUGCCACAAUUAUCCCCAACAGCGCAGGGAACCAGGACAGCUACUAUGAGUAGUCAAACCUGUUCUUCUCAAGGGUUGAAUGCUAGAGGUAGGGGAAGGCAGGUAGCAGGAAGAAUUUUUGUCUUGACCCAAACAGAGCCAGAGGAGGACGCCCUUUUGGUGGAAGUGAUAAUAUGAACAUACGGUGUUGUUGUUUUGGCCGUGGAUUCCUCUUUGGAAUACAUUUGCUCUCAUAAGUGAAGAAUGAUGUAAUAAGAGAACUUGGUUUUGGUGGGCUAUUGUAAUUAGGUUGUAAGGAGGUGAAUUUAGAUUUAUAUUUUUGGUUAAUAAAAAACACAAACAUUGUUUAUUCCCAAUUCGAGUUAUUUGGAGGUAAAAAGGUCCCUUUGACAUGUCAUGAUGUGGGGAUCACGAUGGGCAUCCCACAUGGUGGAAGGAAGUUAAUUGUUGACAAAGGAACUGUCAAAGAUAGUCAGAUGCCGAGUUUGAAGGAUAUAGAGUUAAUGAUGGUUGACAUCGAUGAUAUUGAGGAAUUUAAGCGAGUCUUCUUGAUUUUCGCGUGUGCAACCUUAUUGGCACCCACAUUUCGUUUGGAAGGUAGUCACUCGUUAUGGUAUACACCCUGAGAGUAGUUACUUGGGAACAUAAAUUGGAGAUAAUUUGUCUUAGAAUUUUUUAUUCAAGCUAUACAUGAACAUAGGAGGAAGGAAAAUGUUUGGAUUAAAGGGUGUUUGAUGUUUCUACAGGUAACUAUUUGUUUUAUUUAUACGUAUAUGUUCAAGUAUUUUAUAUUUAAUAAUGGUUAUACACUAUGUUGGUCAUGAUGUUAUCACUAAUUAUGUCUUAUAUAAUGCAACAGAUAUUCUACUUUUCAAUAUAUAAUUUUCCAGUCAUGUAUGUGGAACUUACCACUCCUCGCAUUGCUGCAUGGAACGAUUUUUUUGGUGAAAUAACUCAUAAAGUUGGAGUUGAAAAUGCUUGGAGGAUUUGGCAAAGUUGAGUUGGUUAGCACAUUGACGGAGCAAGAUCAAACAUAAAGAAAUGAGGCUCCUGCAGUUAAUGGCCUAGUUGACCCAAAUGAGAUUGAAGACUUUGAUGUAAUCCUUCAUACCUAAUGACUAUGAAGAGUAGCUUAUAUUAAAUCUUAAGUUAAAUAUAUGUCAUUUAAUAUUCCUUCAUUAUGUUUGACUUAGGUUAUUUGUGUUCGUAAUGUCAAAUCACUAAUGCACAAAGUCAUGUUAA